UACGAAGGGGGCUAGCGUUGUUCGGAUUUACUGGGCGUAAAGCGCACGUAGGCGGAUUGGUCAGUUAGAGGUGAAAUCCCGAAGCUCAACUUCGGAACUGCCUUUAAUACUGCCAGUCUAGAGUCCGGAAGAGGUAAGUGGAACUCCUAGUGUAGAGGUGGAAUUCGUAGAUAUUUAGGAAGAACACCAGUGGCGAAGGCGGCUUACUGGUCCGGUACUGACGCUGAGUGCGAAGGCGUGGGGAGGCAAACAGGA
rnacentral:rRNA from 1 species